UUAAGUCCCGCAACGAGCGCAACCCUCACUUUUAGUUGCCAUCAUUAAGUUGGGCACUCUGAAAGAACUGCCAGUGAUAAGCUGGAGGAAGGUGGGGAUGACGUCAAGUCCUCAUGGCCCUUACGUGUUGGGCUACACACGUGCUACAAUGGCAUUUACAAUAGGAAGCAAGAUGGCGACGUCAAGCAAAUCCUAAAAAGAUGCCUCAGUUCGGAUUGUACUCUGCAACUCGAGUACAUGAAGCUGGAAUUACUAGUAAUCGCGGAUCAGCGCGCCGCGGUGAAUACGUUCCCGGGUCUU
rnacentral:rRNA from 1 species